GUACAUCGGUUUUCUCAAGCAGCUCACCCAUCCAAGUACUAAUCGUACUCAGCGCUGCUUGACUUAAUGAUCGAGCAGGAACUAGUACCGUCACCGUGCCAUAGCCGUUGACUAAAUAAUGUUCCUGCAUCUGAAUUGUUUCUGAAUCUUAAGCAACAAACAUGUCAGGAAAAACACAACAUGAAAGAUAUUGAUGCAUUCUUAAAUUCAUGUUCAACCAUUAUUUUUGUUGAAAAUGACGUGAUUGAAAAUCAAGUGAAUUUACCAAAUUGUGACGCAAAAUGAAGAUUCGAGUUUGGAAAACAAUUUGAUUAAGUUCACAAAUGAUAAUUUACUCCAAAUUUUAAACACUACGAUGUUACCACCAAAAUGGAGCUGGACCACUGAUGUUAUAAAUUCUCUCAAAAUAUUUUUUUAUUUUUUUACAGAUCCAAAAUUUUUAACAUUAAAAUUUCAUGUAAAAAUUCAUGGAAUUUUGAAAAAUCAAGAUAAGAAAUAUGAAAACCAACAUAUCUACAGAUUUUACUUUUAAUCCUUCAAGUAUCGAUGUGAUUUUUGGAACUAUUAAAAGAGAUGAAAAGUAGUCAUUGUCGUGGUGGAACUGGGUUUGAUAUUAAUAGAUGUUCUACAACGUGUACUAAUAUAAUGUUGCCAAAUGAAAAGAUUCAACUAUGUAAAGGUGUGUAUUGAUGUUAAAAAAGCUAAAAAUUCAAGAGAGCGAAGAUACAGUAAAGACCUUUCCAAGGUGACUGGGUACAAGUUGUUGGAAAUUUCUUAAGUAAAACUGCAGUGACUAGUGACAUUCUACAUAAGCUAUUUAUAUAAUGCGUACUGCUACUUGAAAAAUCAGGAUUUCACGUUAAUUGUAUAAUAUUGCGAUGGUGCACAAUGGAACCACAGAACAUGGACACUGUUUAGAAUAGAAGAUCAUAAAUUUAGUUAUGAGCAUCGCUUUGAUUCUAUUAAUUGCUUAUGGUUUGUGACCUACUUUCCAAAUUUCCUGAAAUGUUUGAGAAAUAAAGUAAUUGAUACUCCAUAUUUUUGGACUCUCUUGAUGGUAUAAAAAUGCUUCACUGGCAGGCUCUCUACAACCUUGAAGCAUACGGAAAAAUGAAUUUAAAAAUUGCUUUUACAUUCUCUCCUCAUCAUCUAAAGCCUGAAGGUUUUUAAAAAAUGAAUGUACUUCUUGGAAUACAUUUUUCGAUAUCAUGAGAACUGAUUGUGGAUGUAAUGAUUAUCCUGAUCCAUUUAUUUUCGGUCAGGAUUUUCAUCUUUUAUGCAGUUAUUUCUUAGCAACUCCAUCAAAAGGCUCCAAUAUAACUGCGUAUGAAUGGUUACGAUCACUAAUGCAAACAAGAGAUUUAUUAGCUGCAUCGAAUAGUGAACAAAAAAAAUUAGCUUGUAAAACUUGAUUCGAUUAUUCAAAAAAGGAUUAACAAUGAUGAUAAGCACAGUUAAUCAGACAAAAAUGAUGAUAAUAAACGUAAACCUUUUGAUUAUUGGGUUGAUGAAGAAGAUAGUGAAAAUGAUGAGGCUAAUGAGAUUAUAUCCGAAAAAAAUAUGAUUGAUGAAGUCCAAAAUCAUGACAAUAAUUAGAAGUCGUUUGAAUCUUUGUUAUAUGAUGAUAGUUCUGAUGAUGAUCAUUACAAGUACUACAAUGAUCGUAAUGAAUGUGAUUUUGAAAAUACUGGCAAUAAAUCAACAUUAAACAGUUGUUACGGAGCUGAACAUAACGAAUUGAAAGACUCAGGCAUUGACAACAAUAUAAUUUGAGAUUAUGAUUAUGAUAUUGUUCAAACUAGUAAUUAUGUUAUAUCUUACGCUGGAUUUAUGGCACGAACAAUUGCUAGAUUUACAAAGUGUUGGGACUGUAAAGAUAUGCUUAUUUCUUUGAAUCGGACUGAGCAUUAUAAAUUGAUUGACAAGAUAAAUGACGAGAGUUUAAUUUACUUCAGUAAUAAAUUAUUAACGUCGUUGGAACGAAAAG
rnacentral:lncRNA from 1 species